rnacentral:rRNA from 1 species
AAUGGGGCGAGAAAGAUCCAGCAGUACUGCCCCAUAUGUCUCCUUAGAUGCCCUUACAAGCUGAUUACGAAGGUUCUGGAUAACCGAGUGGCUAUCUUUGCUGACAAAUUGAUUAGCAAAUAUCAAAAUGCUUUCAUAAAACACAGAAACAUUAUGGAUGGGAUCCUUACUCUUCAUGAGGUGUUACACCAUACCCACCAUAAAAAGAAGGUGGGGAUUGUUCUUAAGUUGGAUUUCGAGAAAGCCUAUGAUAAGAUAAAUUGGGACUUUCUUUUAGAAUGUCAUCGAAACUGUGGUUUCAGCCCGAGUUGGCGCGGCUGGGUGGAGAAGAUACUGCACAAUGGCACCCUAAGAAUUAAGCUUAAUAAUGAAAUAGGACCCUACUUUCAGAGUCACAAAGGGGUCCGGCAGGGCGACCCUUACUCCCCAUUCUUGUUUAACUUGGCU